AUGAAGAGAAACAUCCUCAUCAUUCUCAUCAUCACAUCAGGUGUGUUUGGUGCUGAUCAAAUUGGACCUUCAGAUGAUCAGGAGACUGAUGUUUCUGCAAAAGAGGGAGAAUCUGUUACGCUGAAAUGCUCUUAUGAAACAAGUAGUGAAGGGGUUCGGCUCUACUGGUACAGACAGUAUCCUAACAGAGCUCUACAGUAUUUACUGUUUAAAGAGGCUCGACUGUGGAGUGGUAGCCAUACAUCAGAUGAUAGAUUUCAGUCUACUACAUCCAGAUCAUCCACUGAGUUCACUGUUACAGAACUAAUACUGGCAGAUACAGCUCUCUACUACUGUGCUCUUAGAGUUGGAGCCCAGUGA